GGAGGGUUGGCAGAAUGGCUAUUGCAGCGGUCUUGAAAACCGCCGUCCGAAAGGACUUCUGGGUUCGAAUCCCAGGCCCUCCG
rnacentral:tRNA from 1 species